rnacentral:rRNA from 1 species
CAGCAGCCACGGUAAUGCGGAGGGAGCUAGCGUUGUUCGGAAUUACUGGGCGUAAAGCGCACGCAGGCGGUUUGUUAAGUCAGAUGUGAAAUCCCCGAGCUUAACUUGGGAACUGCAUUUGAAACUGGCAAGCUGGAGUCUUGUAGAGGGGGGUAGAAUUCCAGGUGUAGCGGUGAAAUGCGUAGAGAUCUGGAGGAAUACCGGUGGCGAAGGCGGCCCCCUGGACAAAGACUGACGCUCAGGUGCGAAAGCGUGGGGAGCAAACAGGAUUAGAUACCCCAGUAGUCCCUGUCUCUUAUAC